rnacentral:tRNA from 1 species
GCCACCGUAGCUCAGCUGGUAGAGCAAGUGAUUCGUAAUCACUAGGUCGGGGGUUCGAAUCCCUUCGGUGGCU